rnacentral:pre_miRNA from 1 species
GUUUUGACUUUUCAUCUUAUUUGAAAUUUUUUUAUGAUUAAUAUUUUUAUUGUUACUAGAUGAUAAAAUAUAAAUAGGACUUUAUGCGUGACUAAUUUUUAAGGUUUUUUAUAAUUUUUUAAUAAGACGAAUGGUCAAAAC